rnacentral:rRNA from 1 species
AACGAACGCUGGCGGCAGGCCUAACACAUGCAAGUCGAGCGCCCCGCAAGGGGAGCGGCGGACGGGUGAGUAACGCGUGGGAAUUUUCCUCAAGGUACGGAACAACUCAGGGAAACUUGGGCUAAUACCGUAUGAUGUCUAGCGACCAAAGAUUUAUCGCCUUGGGAUAAGCCCGCGUCAGAUUAGGUAGUUGGUGGGGUAACGGCCUACCAAGCCUGCGAUCUGUAGCUGGUCUGUGAGGACGAUCAGCCACAUUGGGACUGAGACACGGCCCAA